GUAAAGUUCUCUCCAAGAUAGGCUCAGGUGAUCACUAUUAGGAUGGAGAGGAAUAUAUUUCAUCACAUUCAUAUGAACAAACGAAUGUUCAGGUAUCGCUAGCAAUCUUUAAAAGACCUUGACAUGGCUAGUCUAAAGCAAAGGGAGCAUGAUAUACGCAAAACAGGACAUUACUGCCUAACCAUUUUCUUCCAUAUCAAACAAUACUCUCAAUUUGGUGGACAUUCUUGAUCAACCUAUGCAAAAAUAUACAAUUCACAAUUUUAUUAGACAUGAACUGACCUGACUAAAGUGGCUAGCUAAUCCAAGCUUAUAUUCUUUUGGUUGAAGGGAAUGAACUCAUUCAUCUAUUCUAUCAGCAGCAUAGCAUCAUCCACAUUCUCAUUUCAUUGGCAGUGAAUUUAAUAGUUUUUUGCUAUGCACAUACGUUGGGAUUCAAGCAAUUGUUGUACAUUUCGCUUCUUGAUUCCAUUUCGGAACAGAAUGUUAGCCAUACUUUGUAUGUCUUUGCUAACUGGGGAACAUAUGUUGCUCUUCUCAAUUGUUUUCCUUUUCAAGUACUCUGUUGCCUGUGCCUGGACAGAACCUGAAGCUGAGGAUAUGACAGCAUGGUCCCUGAUUCUUUUUAUUCUUUUGCUUCCAGAGAAUUCACAUAUUUUGGCAUUGACAACAUCAUCCUUUUGAAUGCCUAACAAGGCAUUUUCACAUGCCUGUCUUGCAAUAGGAUAAAAGCCAUUAUCAAGCAAGUGCUCAGCAAAAUUUAACCAUUCCAUAGAUGAAACUUGUAGAAACGGGCAACCUGAAGACUUGACUUGCCGCAAAAGCAAGGACUCGUAUUUCAGAGCCAAACAACCCUCAAUAUCCCCUAAGAGAGCAAAAGCACGAACAAAAAAUUCCAUAAUCCAAAGCUUUUGUUCAACAGUUUUCUCUGUAAUAUCACGCAUAACGGAGAGAGAUUUGGAUCUCAUGAACUCUGUCAAGCUUGAUCUUGUUUCCAUUAACGACUUCGCAUCUUUGCAUACCAAAAGCGAUUCAAGUAUUUGCAGUGUUUCGUCACUGAAUCUUCCUCUUUGAAGCUCUUGUCGGAUGGUCUCGACCUCGGCCUUAACCGGCGGCAAUUGCCGUGGUUUCUUUCUAGCCUCAGCAAGGUCACCAUAUAUCGCCGUAAGCUUGACACUAGCCGCAUUCGCCGAAAAGUGUCGAUAAAAAGGGAGGUCAUGGCUUAAUGCCAAGUGAGUGGCUGCCGGCUGCUGGUUGUUACGGAGGAGCGAUUGGAUCUGGCGGUCCGGCCGUCUACAAGGAUACAUGAAAUGUGAGUUUUGUUUGGCGGAUGAGAGCUGGACGUUGUCUUCUGUUCG
rnacentral:misc_RNA from 1 species